ACAGCGGAACGGUUGUUGGGCGUCUCCUAACGGCAGCAAUGGACUGAGAAGAAAAGUUAAGAGAGAGGGAGAGGAAAAGAUUGCGUCUAGCUUUAUUGGGGUCGCGAUGGAGUGUGAAGCAAAGUCCGGUUCUUGCCCAUUGCAGUGAGAAAGAGAGAGAAGGGAGCACGAGGAGGGGCUGCGCUGGAGAAAUUGCUGUUGGAAUGUCUCCUUAACCAAUGAAAAGUGGUAAAACUGAGGCAUUAGUCAUAUGACUAAAGAUGGCAUCCUAUUUAGCACAAGAAGUUCAACUUGCUAAAAGACAUGAAGAAAUACUGUCUCAGAGAAUGGUGUUGCUUCAGCAGAUGGAGAGUCAUCUAGGAGACAAAGAAGCUGAGAAGACAUGGCAAAUACAAGAAGCUGACGUAGCUCGUAAAAGAAAUGUAGCACUUUUAAAUGAUAUAAAAACAGCAGGGAAAAAGCUACAGUCGAGAGACCACUUACUUCUGCACCCUGACAUUGUUAAUCUUGAGACUCUUUACUGGGCAAAAGUAGAAGAAUCCAUCCCUAAGUGGGAGCCAUUUUUUUUAGGAAGAACACAAGCCCCUAUCGGGGUUAGAAAAAUCAAGCCAACAAAGCAAAACACAGGUCCUCCCAAGAGAUAAACGAAAAUCAAGUCUUCUGUGGGAAGGAUCUGCUCAUUCUUCCAAAUGGUGGGUUUUUAAAUGGUUCUUUAAAUUUUUCUUGGAUAAGCUACAUGAAUUCUGAAUCGGCAAUGAAGAGUUCUCUCCCACCAGCCUGUUGUAUCAAACAUGGAAGACAUCAAACAUCAAGAUGAAAACUCAGCUGUUCAACUGUUUAGUCAAGAUGAGCAAAUAUGGAAUCUUACCCUUCACUUUUAUGAAGGAGAGGCAUCAUUUCCCAAUAAAAGUGGAAGCACAUGCCAAUCCGACUGCCCCAUGAGAAGAUUUGUUUCAUGAGUAAGGCAUGCAUUUCCCAUAAUUUCGCAACUAGUACACGCAGCAUGGAUGCGUUCAGACAUUACAAUAAGCCAAGACUUAUGGCGACAAGAAUGAGCCAAAUCUCCUCUCUCUUCCACUGUAUGUGAGAGGAGGCAAUGGCAGCUUUCAUCUUUAUUUUUUAAAUUCAUUGUGGCUUGUGUUCUUCAAACAAAUUGUAGUAUUCUAACUAUGAUUUGUUCAAAACCAGCCAACUUCAUAAUAUGGGUUAUGAAGCUGUCUUUUUCCAUCUGGUAUGCAGGCUGAGACUCUACCUGCCCAUGGACUGUCUUGCAAGACUGGUGCAUUCUCUGGUUAUCUCCUGCUUGGACUGCUGCAAUGCGCUCUACGUGGGGUUACCUUUGAAGGUGACCCGGAAACUAACUAAACCAGAAUGCAGCAGCUAGACUGGUGACUGGUUGUGGCCGCCGAGGCCACAUAACACGGGUCUUGAAAGACCCACGUUGGGUCCCAGUAUGUUUCCGAGCACAAUUAAAAGUGUUGGUGCUGACCUUUAGAGCCCUAAAUGGCCUCUGCCCAGUAUACCUGUAGGAGCAUCUCCACCCCAUCGUUCAGCCCAGACAUUGAGGUCCAGCGCCAAGGGCCUUCUAGUAGUUCCCUCACUGCGAGAAGUGAAGUUACAGGGAACCAGGCAGAGGGCCUUCUUGGUAGUGGUGCCCACACUGUGGAACGCCCUCCCAUCAGAAAUCAAGGAAAUAAACAACUAUCUGACUUUUAGAAGACAUCUGAAGGCAACCCUGUUUAGGGAAGUUUUUAAUGUUUGAUGUUUCAUCGUGUUUUUAAUAUUCUGUUGGGAGCCGCCCAGAGUGGCUGGGGAAACCCAGCCAGAUGGGCGGGGUAUAAAUUAGUAGUAGUAGGAAAAUGUGUCCCUCCAGCGCCCAUCAUCCCUUACCCCUGAGGCUGUUAGGACUUGCAAUCCCAUCCCUGCUCUAUAAAGACCCCACCCC